rnacentral:rRNA from 1 species
GACGAACGCUGGCGGCGUGCUUAACACAUGCAAGUCGAACGGAAAGGCCCUGCUUUUGUGGGGUGCUCGAGUGGCGAACGGGUGAGUAACACGUGAGUAACCUGCCCUUGACUUUGGGAUAACUUCAGGAAACUGGGGCUAAUACCGGAUAGGAGCUCCUGCUGCAUGGUGGGGGUUGGAAAGUUUCGGCGGUUGGGGAUGGACUCGCGGCUUAUCAGCUUGUUGGUGGGGUAGUGGCUUACCAAGGCUUUGACGGGUAGCCGGCCUGAGAGGGUGACCGGACACAUGGGGACUGAGAGGGGGACAAGAGCCCGAGGGGAGGCGAAAGGGGGAAAUUUUGCAAAAGGGGCGGAGGCGGGAUGCGGAAACGCGGGGGGCGGGAGGCGGCCUUUGGGUUUAAAACCCUGUUGCCCUGGUGAGGAAGCGGGGGGGGGGGAAGGGGAAAAAAAGGCCCGGGCUAGCUAGGUG